rnacentral:rRNA from 1 species
CCUGGUUGAUCCUGCUAGUAGUCAUAUGCUUGUCUCAAAGAUUAAGCCAUGCAUGUCUAAGUAUGAACUAGAUCUGAUUGUGAAACUACGAAUGGCUCAUUAAAUCAGUUAUAGUUUUUUUUAUGGUACCAUACUACUUGGAUAACCGUAGUAAUUUUAGAGCUAAUACGUGCACCAAGUCCUGACUCUUUCGAAAGGAUGCAUUUUUUAGAUAAAAGGUCAGCGCGAGCUUGCCCACUUCUUCGAUGAAUCAUGAUAACUCGACGGAUCGCACAACCCUUGUCCUAGUGAUGCUUCAUUAAAAUUUCUACCCUAUCAACUUUUGAUGGUAAUAUAGAGGCCUACCAUGGUGGUGACAAGUGACAGAUAAUUAGGGUUCGAUUCUAGAGAGGGAGCCUGAGAAACGACUACCACAUCCAAGGAAGGCAGCAGGCGCACACCCAAUCCUGACAUGGGGAAUUAGUGACAAUAAAUAACAAUACUGGGCUCAUUGAGUCUGGUAAUUGGAAUGAAUACAAUAUAGAUCCCUUAACGAGGAUCCAUUGGAGGGAAAAUCUGGUGCCAGCAGCCACGGUAAUUCCAGCUCCAAUAGCGUAUAUUUAAGUUGUUGUAGUUGAAAAGCUCAUAGUUGGAUCUUAGGUCGUAAAGGUCAGUGCACCUGCUCAGUGUGCAACUGCCCUUCCAUCUCUUUUGUUGGCAACGUGCUCCUAGCCUUAAUUGGUUGGGUCACGACUCCAGUGCUAUUACUUUGAAAAAAUUAGAGUGGUCAAAGCAAGCUUAUGCUCUGAAUACAUUAGCAUGGAAUAACGUGAUAGGGGUCUGGUCCUAUUGUGUUGGCCUUCGGGACCAGAGUAAUGAUUAAUAGGGACUGUCGGGGGCAUUCAUAUUUCAUUGUCAGAGGUGAAAUUCUUGGAUUUAUGAAAGACAAACCACUGCAAAAGCAUAUUCCAAGGAUGUUUUCAUUAAUCAAGAACAAAAUUUGGGGCUCGAAGACAAUCAGAUACUGUCCUAGUCUCAACCAUAAAUGAUGCCAACCAGGGAUUGAUGGAUGUUACUCUAAGGACUCCACUAGAACCUUAUGAGAAAUUGGAGUGUUUGGGUUCUGGGGGGAGUAUGGUCACAAGGCUAAAACUUAAAGGAAUUGAUGGAAGGCCACCACUAGGAGUGAAGCUUGUGGCUUAAUUUGACUCAACACGGGGAAACUUACCAAAUCCAAACAUAGUAAGGAUUGACAGAUUGAGAGCUCUUUCUUAUUUCUAUGGGUGGUGGAGCAUGGCCAUUCUUAGUUGGUGGAGCAAUUUGUUUGGUUAAUUCUGAUAAUGAACGAGACCUUAGCCUACUAACUAGCUACAUGGAGGUUCCCCUUCGCGGCCAGCUUCUUAGAGGGACUAUAGCCAUUUAGGCCAUGGAAGUUUGAGGCAAUAAUAGGUCCGUGAUGCCCUUAGAUGUUCUGGGCCACACGCGUGCUACACUGAUGUAGCCAAUGAGUUUUUCUUCCUAGUUCGAGAGGAUAGAGAAAUAUUCUCAAAUUGCAUCGUGAUGGGGAUAGACCAUUGUAAUUAUUGGUCUUCAACGAGGAAUUCCUAGUAAGCACAUGUCUUCAACUCGUGUUGACUACGUCCUUGCCCUUUGUACACACCACCUGUCACUCUUACCGAUUGAAUGAUCUGGUGAAGUGUUCAAAUUUCGUCGACGAUGGUGGUUUGCUGCUGUUGACAUCAUGAGAAGUUCAUUGAACCUUAUCAUUUAGAGGAAGGAGAAGUCGUAACAAUGUUACCAUAGGUGAACCUGCGGUAG